GAUAAUCAAACCUGCCAAAACUUGACUUUACAUGCGAAACAUUUUCAUUCUAUCUGUGUAAAUAGCUCGAGAGGAGUGGAAUUCGACAUGCUUAAGAGAAUGCAAAAACGUACCUAAUUGUAAGACGCAGACGAAUCGUAGUUACAUAUUUUUUUAAAUUAUUUUACGCUUGCGUGAUAAAUUAAGUGCAGUAUUGUAUCAUUGUUCAAUGUUAAUCAGUGCUUUAUGAAAUAUAUGUAAUCAAUCUGUAACUCUUAAAUGUAUGUAAUGAUCAAUGUUCCUGGAAUUCAAAUACACCUGCACUGAGGGUCGAAACUUAAACGAUAAGUUGGGAGCCAAAAAAACAUUAUGUAGUAUGAUAUUCUGAAAUACAUCGAAUUUCAUGGAAAUUGAUUUUCACGUUACAAGUUU